rnacentral:rRNA from 1 species
AUUGAACGCUGGCGGCAGGCCUAACACAUGCAAGUCGAGCGAGCGGCGGACGGGUGAGUAAUGUAUGGGGACUGCCCGAUAGAGGGGGAUCACUACUGGAAACGGUGGCUAAUACCGCAUACUAUCGGAUAACCCAUAUGGGAUUAGCUAGUCGGUGGGGGACAGGCUAACCUAGGCGGCGAUCCCUAGCUGGUCUGAGAGGAUGAUCAGCCACCCUGGGACUGAGACACGGCCCAGACGCCUACGGAGGCAGCAGUGGGGAAUAUUGCACAAUGGGCGCAAGCCUGAUGCAGCCAUACCGCGUUUGUUGAGAAGGCCUUAGGGGUGUAAAGUACUUUCAGCGGGGAGGCGUUACCCGCAGAAGAAGCACCGGCUAACUCCGUGCCAGCAGCCGCGGUAAUAC